UAAGGAAUAUUGCUCAAUGGGAGAAAUCCUGAAGCAGCAACGCCGCGUGGAGGAUGAAGGGUUUUUAACUUGUAAACUCCUGUAAAGAAGGAAAAAAUUCCCAUUAGAUGGGAAAUGAUGGUACUUCUGGAGUAAGCCCCGGCUAACUACGUGCCAGCAGCCGCGGUAAUACGUAGGGGGCAAGCGUUGUCCGGAUUUACUGGGUGUAAAGGGUGCUCAGGCGGAUUUGUAAGUCAGAGGUGAAAUCUCACAGCUUAACUGUGAAACUGCCUUUGAUACUGCAAGCCUAGAGUAUGGAAGAGAGUGAUGGAAUAUCUGGUGUAGCAGUGAAAUGCGUAGAUAUCAGAUAGAACACCAAUGGCGAAGGCAGUCACUUGGUCCAUAACUGACGCUAAAGCACGAAAGCGUGGGUAGCAAACAGGAUUAGAUACCCUGGUAGUCCACGCCCUAAACGAUGAAUACUAGAUGUUGGCUUCGCAUGAAGUCAGUAUCUGAGCUAACGCAUUAAGUAUUCCACCUGGAAGUACGAUCGCAAGGUUGAAACUCAAAUGAAUUGACGGGGUCAUAGCUGUUUCCUG
rnacentral:rRNA from 1 species